ACAGAGGGGGCUAGCGUUGUUCGGAAUUACUGGGCGUAAAGGGCGCGUAGGUGGCCUGUUAAGUCGAACGUGAAAUCCCCGGGCUCAACCCGGGAACUGCGUCCGAGACUGGCAGGCUCGAAUCCGGGAGAGGGAUGUGGAAUUCCAGGUGUAGCGGUGAAAUGCGUAGAUAUCUGGAGGAACACCGGUGGCGAAGGCGGCAUCCUGGACCGGUAUUGACGCUGAGGCGCGAAAGCCAGGGGAGCAAACGGGA
rnacentral:rRNA from 1 species